rnacentral:rRNA from 1 species
GGUGAACGCUAGCUACAGGCUUAACACAUGCAAGUCCAUGGGCAGCAUGGUCUUAGCUUGCUAAGGCCGAUGGCGACCGGCGCACGGGUGAGUAACACGUAUCCAACCUGCCGUCUACUCUUGGACAGCCUUCUGAAAGGAAGAUUAAUACAAGAUGGCAUCAUGAGUCCGCAUGUUCACAUGAUUAAAGGUAUUCCGGUAGACGAUGGGGAUGCGUUCCAUUAGAUAGUAGGCGGGGUAACGGCCCACCUAGUCUUCGAUGGAUAGGGGUUCUGAGAGGAAGGUCCCCCACAUUGGAACUGAGACACGGUCCAAACUCCUACGGGAGGCAGCAGUGAGGAAUAUUGGUCAAUGGGCGAGAGCCUGAACCAGCCAAGUAGCGUGAAGGAUGACUGCCCUAUGGGUUGUAAACUUCUUUUAUAAAGGAAUAAAGUCGGGUAUGGAUACCCGUUUGCAUGUACUUUAUGAAUAAGGAUCGGCUAACUCCGUGCCAGCAGCCGCGGUAAUACGGAGGAUCCGAGCGUUAUCCGGAUUUAUUGGGUUUAAAGGGAGCGUAGAUGGAUGUUUAAGUCAGUUGUGAAAGUUUGCGGCUCAACCGUAAAAUUGCAGUUGAUACUGGAUAUCUUGAGUGCAGUUGAGGCAGGCGGAAUUCGUGGUGUAGCGGUGAAAUGCUUAGAUAUCACGAAGAACUCCGAUUGCGAAGGCAGCCUGCUAAGCUGCAACUGACAUUGAGGCUCGAAAGUGUGGGUAUCAAACAGGAUUAGAUACCCUGGUAGUCCACACGGUAAACGAUGAAUACUCGCUGUUUUGCGAUAUCCAGCAAGCGGCCAAAGGGAAAGCGUUAAGUAUUCCACCUGGGGGGUACGCCGGCAACGGUGAAAGUCAAAGGAAUUGACGGGGGCCCGCACAAGCGGAGGAACAUGUGGUUUAAUUCGAUGAUACGCGAGGAACCUUACCCGGGCUUAAAUUGCAGAUGAAUUACGGUGAAAGCCGUAAGCCGCAAGGCAUCUGUGAAGGUGCUGCAUGGUUGUCGUCAGCUCGUGCCGUGAGGUGUCGGCUUAAGUGCCAUAACGAGCGCAACCCUUGUUGUCAGUUACUAACAGGUUCUGCUGAGGACUCUGACAAGACUGCCAUCGUAAGAUGUGAGGAAGGUGGGGAUGACGUCAAAUCAGCACGGCCCUUACGUCCGGGGCUACACACGUGUUACAAUGGGGGGUACAGAGGGCCGCUACCACGCGAGUGGAUGCCAAUCCCCAAAACCUCUCUCAGUUCGGACUGGAGUCUGCAACCCGACUCCACGAAGCUGGAUUCGCUAGUAAUCGCGCAUCAGCCACGGCGCGGUGAAUACGUUCCCGGGCCUUGUACACACCGCCCGUCAAGCCAUGGGAGCCGGGGGUACCUGAAGUGCGUAACCGCGAGGAG